UACGGGAGAGGAAAGUCCGGACAACGCAGGGCACCGUACUUCUCGAAAGGAAGGCAUGUUUUACAUGACAGAUAGUGCUACAGAAAUUUAGACCGCCGAUGGCGCCUCACCGAGGCAAACAGGUAAGGUUGAAAAGGUGAGGUAAGAGCUCACCAGCGGCGAAGCGAUUCGUCGGCUCUGGUAAACCUUGCGGGUUGCAAGAUCGCAUAGACUGACAUCUGAGGGUUGCCCGCCCAAGUCAGUGGGUUGAUUGCAUAGAUAAAUGAUGAAGCGCUUCGGCGAACAGAAUCCGGCUUACCAUUUUUUU
rnacentral:RNase_P_RNA from 1 species